rnacentral:lncRNA from 1 species
UUUGUCUUUCAAUUGGUUUUUUUUCCAAUUAAUAAACUAAAAAUGUACAAAAACUACAAAGCAUGCAUAAAGUAUAAUUAAAUUUGUUUAAACUUCAAAUAUAUUUUGAAUUGUUGAUAAUAUGUAUAAUUCAAUUUUGUAGAUAGGAAGAUGAUGAGAAAACUGGCAUAUAUGCCUCCGUCACCAAAGCUUAACGAAAACCCAGGAGUUGGUCAUCGUUAAGUGAGAAAAUCUUCCUUAUACCGCUAAUUAAAGUUAGAUCUCUCCUAUAAAGUAUAUAUGAAAUUUAUAUUUUACCCUUAAUAAAUUUUAACUGUUUAUACAUAUUUUGUUCUAAAAAUUUCAGAAUAAAUUAGUUUUUAAAAGAAAUAAAGUUCUUGAAAAGGAAAAACUUGAGUUUGAAGGACAAAAUACAACUUUGAAAGGUUAAAAUUUAUAUUAUUUGAGUUUUAGAAAAAACUUAUAUAUAAUGAAAAUCUGUUUUUCUAGAAUUUUGAAAUGUCUUUAAAUUUUUAAAGAUUUCAUAUCUAAAAUUUAAACUUUCUAUAAAUUCAAAAAAAAUUAUAAAAAAAAAUGAUUUAUAUUCAACUAGCGGGUAGGCGCGUCUGACUGUGUCUAACUUAUGUCCAAAAAAAAGAUAUGUCUCAUGUUAUGAUGAGUUUGUUAAUAAAAAAUUUUGCUGCUAAAAAAAAAGUGUCUUAUGUUAUGGAGUUUGUUAAUAAAAUAUUUUUGUUGCUACUAAAAAAAAUCAAGGGUAUUAUUGAUAUUAUGAAAAGUCCACACAAAAACUCAUGUAUCCUCUUUAUACAUACUAUAGAUAAAAAGAUAUUUUUGAGAAAAUUUGAGGUAGAAAAGUAAAAUGUGGGGUAUAAGGAAGAUUUUUCUUCUCCAGCUUAAGAGUGUAAGCCAUGAGCCAACAUGGUCCACAAAAUAUCACGUGAAUGAAGUGUGUUCCACGGAUCACUACAUCAUGAGUCUCAUAUAUUGUAUAUUUUGUUUUUUUUUACAUAACAUAAUAUUGUAUACUUAUAAGGUUUUUUUAGGGAUAAUGUAUAAUUUAAAGUUGACCAAAGUAAAGUCUUAUAAAAUAGCAGUAUUGUUUAGUGAUUUAUGAUUUGUAAUUUUAAAUUAUAGUAAUCUCUUUCUUUCUUUUUUUUUUGUUACAAGUAUUAUUCAAAUUUCUUUCUGGUUAGAUAUAUUGUUAAAAAACAAAACAAAAUUAACUCAAUUUACAUAUUUGUGGUACUAUUAAUUUGAAUACGA